AGGGGGGACGGAGAAGGCUAUGUUGGCCGGGCGACGGUUGUCCCGGUUUAAGCGUGUAGGUGUGUGUUCCAGGUAAAUCCGGUUCACUUUAACACUGAGGCGUGACGACGAGGCACUACGGUGCUGAAGCAACAAAUGCCCUGCUUCCAGGAAAAGCCUCUAAGCAUCAGGUAACAUCAAAUCGUACCCCAAACCGACACAGGUGGUCAGGUAGAGAAUACCAAGGCGCUUGAGAGAACUCGGGUGAAGGAACUAGGCAAAAUGGUGCCGUAACUUCGGGAGAAGGCACGCUGACACGUAGGUGAAGUGAUUUACUCAUGGAGCUGAAGUCAGUCGAAGAUACCAGCUGGCUGC
rnacentral:rRNA from 2 species